rnacentral:rRNA from 1 species
GCUUGCUCCCUGAUGUUAGCGGCGGACGGGUGAGUAACACGUGGGUAACCUGCCUGUAAGACUGGGAUAACUCCGGGAAACCGGGGCUAAUACCGGAUGCUUGAUUGAACCGCAUGGUUCAAUUAUAAAAGGUGGCUUUUAGCUACCACUUACAGAUGGACCCGCGGCGCAUUAGCUAGUUGGUGAGGUAACGGCUCACCAAGGCGACGAUGCGUAGCCGACCUGAGAGGGUGAUCGGCCACACUGGGACUGAGACACGGCCCAGACUCCUACGGGAGGCAGCAGUAGGGAAUCUUCCGCAAUGGACGAAAGUCUGACGGAGCAACGCCGCGUGAGUGAUGAAGGUUUUCGGAUCGUAAAACUCUGUUGUUAGGGAAGAACAAGUACCGUUCGAAUAGGGCGGUACCUUGACGGUACCUAACCAGAAAGCCACGGCUAACUACGUGCCAGCAGCCGCGGUAAUACGUAGGUGGCAAGCGUUGUCCGGAAUUAUUGGGCGUAAAGCGCGCGCAGGCGGUUUCUUAAGUCUGAUGUGAAAGCCCCCGGCUCAACCGGGGAGGGUCAUUGGAAACUGGGGAACUUGAGUGCAGAAGAGGAGAGUGGAAUUCCACGUGUAGCGGUGAAAUGCGUAGAGAUGUGGAGGAACACCAGUGGCGAAGGCGACUCUCUGGUCUGUAACUGACGCUGAGGCGCGAAAGCGUG